AGAGUUUGAUCCUGGCUCAGGACGAACGCUGGCGGCGUGCCUAAUACAUGCAAGUCGAGCGGACAGAUGGGAGCUUGCUCCCUGAUGUUAGCGGCGGACGGGUGAGUAACACGUGGGUAACCUGCCUGUAAGACUGGGAUAACUCCGGGAAACCGGGGCUAAUACCGGGUGGUUGUUUGAACCGCAUGGUUCAAACAUAAAAGGUGGCUUCGGCUACCACUUACAGAUGGACCCGCGGCGCAUUAGCUAGUUGGUGAGGUAACGGCUCACCAAGGCGACGAUGCGUAGCCGACCUGAGAGGGUGAUCGGCCACACUGGGACUGGGACACGGCCCAGACUCCUACGGGAGGCAGCAGUAGGGAAUCUUCCGCAAUGGACGAAAGUCUGACGGAGCAACGCCGCGUGAGUGAUGAAGGUUUUCGGAUCGUAAAGCUCUGUUGUUAGGGAAGAACAAGUGCCGUUCGAAUAGGGCGGUACCUUGACGGUACCUAACCAGAAAGCCACGGCUAACUACGUGCCAGCAGCCGCGGUAAUACGUAGGUGGCAAGCGUUGUCCGGAAUUAUUGGGCGUAAAGGGCUCGCAGGCGGUUUCUUAAGUCUGAUGUGAAAGCCCCCGGCUCAACCGGGGAGGGUCAUUGGAAACUGGGGAACUUGAGUGCAGAAGAGGAGAGUGGAAUUCCACGUGUAGCGGUGAAAUGCGUAGAGAUGUGGAGGAACACCAGUGGCGAAGGCGACUCUCUGGUCUGUAACUGACGCUGAGGAGCGAAAGCGUGGGGAGCGAACAGGAUUAGAUACCCUGGUAGUCCACGCCGUAAACGAUGAGUGCUAAGUGUUAGGGAGUUUCCGCCCCUUAGUGCUGCAGCUAACGCAUUAAGCACUCCGCCUGGGGAGUACGGUCGCAAGACUGAAACUCAAAGGAAUUGACGGGGGCCCGCACAAGCGGUGGAGCAUGUGGUUUAAUUCGAAGCAACGCGAAGAACCUUACCAGGUCUUGACAUCCUCUGACAAUCCUAGAGAUAGGACGUCCCCUUCGGGGGCAGAGUGACAGGUGGUGCAUGGUUGUCGUCAGCACGUGUCGUGAGAUGUUGGGUUAAGUCCCGCAACGAGCGCAACCCUUGAUCUUAGUUGCCAGCAUUCAGUUGGGCACUCUAAGGUGACUGCCGGUGACAAACCGGAGGAAGGUGGGGAUGACGUCAAAUCAUCAUGCCCCUUAUGACCUGGGCUACACACGUGCUACAAUGGACAGAACAAAGGGCAGCGAAACCGCGAGGUUAAGCCAAUCCCACAAAUCCGUUCUCAGUUCGGAUCGCAGUCUGCAACCCGACUGCGUGAAGCUGGAAUCGCUAGUAAUCGCGGAUCAGCAUGCCGCGGUGAAUACGUUCCCGGGCCUUGUACACACCGCCCGUCACACCACGAGAGUUUGUAACACCCGAAGUCGGUGAGGUAACCUUUUAGGAGCCAGCCGCCGAAGGUGGGACAGAUGAUUGGGGUGAAGUCGUAACAAGGUAGCCGUAUCGGAAGGUGCGGCUG
rnacentral:rRNA from 1 species